AUGGCUCAGGAUGAACGCUAGCGGCAGGCUUAACACAUGCAAGUCGAGGGGCAGCGCGAGUAGCAAUACUUGGCGGCGACCGGCGCAAGGGUGCGUAACGCGUGAGCAACAUGCCCGUAUCAGGGGGAUAAUCCAGGGAAACUUGGUCUAAUACCCCAUAGUAAUUUUGUAAGGCAUCUUAUAAGAUUUAAAGCUUUGGUGGAUACGGAUUGGCUCGCGUGACAUUAGCUGGAUGGUAAGGUAACGGCUUACCAUGGCUAUGAUGUCUAGGGGUUCUGAGAGGAAGGUCCCCCACACUGGAACUGAGACACGGUCCAGACUCCUACGGGAGGCAGCAGUGAGGAAUAUUGGACAAUGGAUGGAAAUCUGAUCCAGCCAUGCCGCGUGAAAGGAAGAAGGUCCUAUGGAUUGUAAACUUCUUUUGUAUGGGAGCAAUAAGGCCUACGAGUAGGUUGAUGAGAGUACCAUACGAAUAAGCACCGGCUAACUCCGUGCCAGCCGCCGC
rnacentral:rRNA from 1 species